rnacentral:rRNA from 1 species
UACGUAGGUGGCAAGCGUUGUCCGGAUUUAUUGGGUUUAAUGGGUGCGUAGGCGGUCUUAUAAGUCAGUGCUGAAAUAUCCCGGCUUAACCGGGAGGGUGGCAUUGAUACUGUAGGACUUGAGUAAAGUUGAGGUUGGCGGAAUUGACGGUGUAGCGGUGAAAUGCUUAGAUAUCGUCAAGAACACCGAUAGUGUAGACAGCUAACUAAGCUUUAACUGACGCUGAGGCACGAAAGUGUGGGGAUCAAACAGG